CAGUCGCCGCGGUAAUACGGAGGGAGCUAGCGUUGUUCGGAAUUACUGGGCGUAAAGCGCACGUAGGCGGUUAUUCAAGUCAGAGGUGAAAGCCCGGGGCUCAACCCCGGAACUGCCUUUGAAACUAGAUGACUGGAAUCUUGGAGAGGUCAGUGGAAUUCCGAGUGUAGAGGUGAAAUUCGUAGAUAUUCGGAAGAACACCAGUGGCGAAGGCGACUGACUGGACAAGUAUUGACGCUGAGGUGCGAAAGCGUGGGGAGCAAACAGGAUUAGAUACCCCCGUAGUCCCUGUCUCUUAUAC
rnacentral:rRNA from 1 species